UGCUGAUCCUCACUGUAGCUGUGGCAGUGUAUUACUGCAGGGGCCGCUGUAACACGGCAGAUCUAACUGACAACACAAGAAUGAAAGAUACAAGAUCAAACAGUCAGGCAAUGUCCAUCUAUGAGACAGUAGGUGAUCUGGCUGUCCCAAGACUGAACACGCCGCAGACUCUGUAUGACAAGAUCACAUUUGGACGCCAGCCAGAAGCCCCUUCUUCUUCUUCCAACCAGGAAGUACUGUGAGCUGAACAGGAUGUGGUCAUAAUCUGGGCAUCUAUAGAUAUAGAACCCUCUGCAUCCUCAGCAUCCUUCAUGUGUACCUUCUGUACAUAGAUGUUACUGUUUCAUUUCAUCACGACCUGCACAUUUCUGUUUUGUUUUGCUUACUUGUUCAGAACUAGAAUCUUCGUCUGUUCAUGAUCAUUAUGUGGUACAACUUGUUAUU